UCAACCGUGGAUGAAUUUGUUUGACUUUUGGUUAAAGAUGAACUCCGAUUUGACUCAAUUUGUUUGGUAAUUGCAGAGUUUUCGCCAAUAAUCAAACAGAGCCCUAAGUUUGUGGCAUCGCUUUCGAUGGGGAGCGACGAAUCGGGAAUGUUGCAGAGAAAUGAAGGCGAGGAAGUGUGUGGAUUUGUUCGUUGCAUUGAACGUGGACGGAAUUUGAGCUAUCUUCUCAAAUCUUACAGUUGUUUGUGUACUGAUUAUAAAUUAAUUUAGGAAUAGGAGGAUCCUUCCUUCGAAAAGAAACCCUAGAAGCCAUCGAGUGUGGAAAAGGGGGGAAACUGGUUAUGGACUUGAACGAUAAUGGGAUAUUUCUUUUACUUUUUUUAGUUCUA